UCGCUCGCGGGCCGUGCGCGGGGGGCCGUGCGCGCCGGUGCUCCCAGGUGGUCAGCGGUGGGCGUGCACCGAGGACCCCGGGAAGGGCAGCGCCGCCGUGCUUGGGCGGCGGGUCAGGCCUUGUAAGUGCUUGGGUGACUUCAGCAGGAGGAUCAUCGCCAGACGUAGAUGCCAGCCCGAGAAACAGCGAUGGAUGUAGCGCCGCCGCUCCCAGCUCGCAUGCGGGCGUGGAGGCUUUGGGAGACCUGUGAACCCCGGGGGGCUGGGGGUGCACCCUGAUGAAGGUGCCAUCUUCAACACACGUAAAACCCGGGGUUUUGAGACUAUUUAAACAAAGACUCUGGCCACGCGGAACAUUAAAGUCACCUUCCAAUCAGCACGGCAGGAAAGAACACCGAUCUAACCAUCUAACCUCAGAGGGUAUUGCUCUUCCCGAAGCUCGGGCCGCAGUGCUCCUACACUGGAGGGAAAAGGAGUUCUAAGGAUGAUUUCAGAGCUACAGAAAUACUGUUGAAAUUCCACCGCACCCUUUACCCAGAGAGCAAUUGAGGCUUCACAGUUUUAAGUUCCGAACAUUUACAAAAUUUCCCUCAGGGUGAAGUCCAGAGUUAAUUCGAAAACAGCAUCAUUUAAGAAAUGAGUUCCCUCCUGGCCAAGCGGGUUAAGGACCUGCAUUGUCACCGCAGAGGCUGGGGUCGCUGCUGUGGCAUGGGUUUGAUCACUGGCCCAGGAACUUCUGCAUGCCCAGGCAGGGCCAAAAGAACAAACAAACAGCAUCAUUUAGAAUUAUGCACAUUUCUAUUCAUUCAAAUGUGCUGGUUUUCAGGAGCUUAUUCCCUGGAGCUUGAGUAUGGAAAAUACACGUUUAAAUUAACUGUUGGACACAAAUCAUCCUCUAUUUCAGAAGAGCUUCUUCGUGCAAACAAAGGAUCUAAAGGGAGCCCCCACCCCCACUCCCACCAGGGCUCUGAAUCAGUCACCAAAGGACAAAACGUUACUGUCUGUCUUUUUUCAGUGGUUCCAAUAGUGUGAAUGAAACUAAUAAAGGGGAAGGAAGUGGCCUCCGACUUAGAAAA
rnacentral:lncRNA from 1 species